CUUAAAAUCCGUCGACUUUAGAAAUCGUGAGGGUUCAAG
rnacentral:tRNA from 11 species